rnacentral:rRNA from 1 species
GUCCUACGGGGCGCAGCAGUGGGGGAUAUUGCACAAUGGGGGAAACCCUGAUGCAGCGACGCCGCGUGGGUGAAGAAGCGCCUCGGCGCGUAAAGCCCUGUCAGCAGGGGAGAAAAUGACGGUACCUGAAGAAGAAGCCCCGGCUAACUACGUGCCAGCAGCCGCGGUAAUACGUAGGGGGCAAGCGUUAUCCAGAUUUACUGGGUGUAAAGGGGGUGCAGACGGCGAUGCAAGCCAGGAGUGAAAGCCCGGGGCCCAACCCCGGGACUGCUCUUGGAACUGCGUGGCUAGAGUGCCGGAGGGGG